rnacentral:rRNA from 1 species
GAUUAUAAAUUUAAUUAUUAUUAUUGAUUUUUUAAAGUAUUAUUUUAUUUAUUAUUAUAAAAGAAAAAUUAAUUUUUUAUUAUAGUUUACUAGUAAAGUGAUUGAAUUUAUUUAUAUAUUAAUAAGAAAAAUUUAUUUUUUGUACCUUGUGUAUCAGGGUUGAUUAAUUUUAUAAUUAUUAUUAAUUUUUCUCGAAUUAAGAAGAGCUAAUUAUGUAUAUGUUUAAUUUUUUCAUAAAUUUUCAUAAUAUAUAAUUUGAAAUGAAAUGUUAUUCGUUUCUUAAUAUAUCUAGUUUUUUAAGAAAAGAAUUUAAUUCUCUUAUUAUUUAUUAUUAGUUAAUUUUUAGUUAAUAAUUUUUAGUAUGAAAUAAAUAAAGGGAUAAGCUUUUAUUUUAAUAAUUAAAAAUUUAUUUGGUUUUAUUUUUUGUAUAAUUUAAAUUGUUAAUCAUUUUUAUAAUAUAAUAGUUAAUUUUAUUUAAUUAAUGAUUUAUAUUUAUUUUAAUUUUUUUAUUAAAAAUUUAUGUUUAAUUUUUUAGCUUUUUUAUAAUGAUUAAAUUAGUAGAUAAAUAUGUAUUUUAUUAUUUAUUUUUAAGAUAAUAAAAAGGAACUCGGCAAAUAAAUUUUUCGCCUGUUUAUUAAAAACAUGUCUUUUUGAUUAUAAUUUAAGGUUUAAUCUGCUCAAUGAUUUAUUAAAUUGCCGCAGUAUUUUGACUGUGCAAAGGUAGCAUAAUAAUUAGCUUUUUUAUUGAGAGCUGGAAUGAAUGAUUGGACGAAAAAAUUUCUGUCUCUUUAUUAUUUAUUAUUUAAUUUAACUUUUAAGUUAAAGGCUUAAAUUUUUUUAAAAGACGAGAAGACCCUAUAGAGUUUUAUUUUUAUUUUUUGAUUAAUUUUUAGAAUUUAAAAUAUUUUAUAAAAUAAAAAAUUUAGUUGGGGUGACUGAAAGAUUAAUUAAACUCUUUUAAUUGAAAUCAUUUAUUUAUGAAUAGAGAAAUUAUUUUUAUAAAUUUAAAAUAAAUUACCUUAGGGAUAACAGCGUUAUUUUUCUUUAGAGUUCUUAUUGAAAGGAAAGAUUGCGACCUCGAUGUUGGAUUAAAAUUUAUUUUUGGUGUAGAAGCUUAAAUAUUAAGUCUGUUCGACUUUUAAAAUUUUACAUGAUCUGAGUUUAAACCGGUGUAAGCCAGGUUGGUUUCUAUCUUUAAAUUUUUAAUAUAUUUUAGUACGAAAGGACCAAAUAUAUAAUAUAUUAUUUUAUUUUGAAUAAUAUU